CCCUUUAUUGUUGGGAUAUCAAAUAUUAUGGAACAACCUUUGCAACUAAAGCUUGACCAUUCAGAAUUAUUGUCACAGGGGAGGAAAAACGAAUCCCAAGUCUCAUCUGCAGUCUGAUCCAAAGAAAAAGAUCUGAACCACACUCCACACAAAGAAUUCGAAGUUUUUGAAGGUCUUUGGAAGUCCCAAGUGAUGACAUGGACACAGAUGUUUGAACAAGGGAUAUCACAUUAUUU
rnacentral:lncRNA from 1 species